rnacentral:sRNA from 1 species
UGAAAUCUAUAGAACCAAACAACCGUAC